UCUAAUAUGGCAGAAAUAAGUGCAGCGGAUUUAAGCCCCGCAAAUAAAGUCUUAAUACUUUUUUUAGAA
rnacentral:tRNA from 1 species